GGUUGUGAUAGCAGUUUAGUGAUGGUGGUGGUAGUAGUAGUGAUGAUGAUGGUAGUGAUAGCAGUUUAGUGAUGGUGGUGGUAGUAGUAUUAAUGAUGAUGGAAGUGAUAGCAGUUUAGUGAUGGUGGUGGUGGUAGUAGUAGUAAUGAUGAUGGCAGUGAUAGCAGUUUAGCGAUUGUGGUGGUAGUAGUAGUAAUGAUGAUGGUAGUGAUAGCAGUUUAGUGAUGGUGGUGGUAUUAGUAGUAAUGAUGAUGGUAGUGACAGCAGUUUAGUGAUGGUGGUGGUAGUAGUUGUAAUGAUGAUGGUAGUGACAGCAUUUUAGUGAUGUAGUGGUGGUAAUAGUAAUAAUGAUGAUGGUAGUGAUAGCAGUUUAGUGAUGGUGGUGGUAGUAGUAGUGAUGAUGAUGGUAGUGAUAGCAGUUUAGUGAUGGUGGUGGUGGUGGUGGUAGUAGUAGUAAUGAUGAUGCUAGAGAUAGCAGUUUAGUGAUGGUGGUGGUGGUGGUAGUAGUAGUAAUGAUGAUGGUAGUGAUAGCAGUUAAGUGAUGGUGGUGGUAGUGGUACUAAUGAUGAUGGUAUUGAUAGCAGCUUAGUGAUGGUGGUGGUAGUAGUAGUAAUGAUGUUGGUAUUCACAGCAGUUUAGUUCUGGUGGUAGUAGUAGUAAUGAUGAUGGUUGUGAUAGCAGUUUAGUGAUGGUGGUGGUGGUAGUAGUAGUAAUGGUGGAAGUGAUAGCAGUUUAGUGAUGGUGGUGGUGGUAGUAGUAGUAAUGAUGAUGGUAUUGAUAGCAGUUCAGUGAUGGUGGUGGUAGUAGUAGUAGUAAUGAUGAUGGUAGUGAUAGCAGUUUAGUGAUGGUGGUGGUAGUAGUAGUUGUAAUUAUGAUGGUACUGACAGCAGUUUAGUGAUGGUGGUGGUGGUAGUAAUGAUGAUGCUAGAGAUAGCAGUUUAGUGAUGGUGGUGGUGGUGGUAGUAGUAGUAAUGAUGAUGGUAUUGAUAGCAGUUUAGUGAUGGUGGUGGUAGUAGUAAUGAUGAUGGUAGUGAUAGCAGGUUAGUGAUGGUAUAUGUGGAAGUAGUAGUAAUGGCGAUGGUAGUGAUAGCAGUUUAGUGACGGUAGUGGUGGUAGAAGUAAUAAUGAUGAUGGAAGUGAAAGCAGUUUAGUGAUGGUGGUGGUAGUAGUAGUAAUGAUGUUGGUAUUCAUAGCAGUGUAGUGAUGGUGGUAGUAGUAGUAAUGAUGACAGUAGUAAUAGCAGUUUAGUGAGGGUGGUGGUAGUUUUAAUAAUGAUGAUGGUUGUGAAAGCAGUUUAGAGAUGGUGGUGGUGGGAGUAGUAGUAAUGAUGAUGAUAGUGAUAGCAGUUUAGUGAUGGUGGUGGUGGUGGUAGUAGUAGUAAUGAUGACGGAAUUGAUAGCAGUUCAGUGAUGGUGGUAGUAGUAGUAAUGAUGAUGGUAGUGAUAGCAGGUUAGUGAUGGUAGAUGUGGAAGUAGAAGUAAUGGCGAUGGUAGUGAUAGCAGUUUAGUGACGGUGGUGGUGGUAGUAGUAGUAAUGAUGAUGGUAGUGAUAGAAGUUUAGUGAUGGUGGUGGUAGUAGUAGUAAUGAUGAUGGAAGUGACAGCAGUUUAGUGAUGGUGGCGGUAGAAGUAAUAAUGAUGAUGGUAGUGAUAGCAGUUUAGUGAUGGUGGUGGUAGUAGUAGUAAUGAUGAUGGUAGUGAUAGCAGUUUAGUGAUGGUGGUGGUAGUAGUUGUAAUGAUGAUGGUAGUGAUAGCAGUUUAGUUAUGGUUGUGGUAGUAGUAGUAAUGAUGAUGGUAGUGAUAGCCGUUUAGUGAUGGUGGUGGUAGUAGUAGUAAUGAUGAUGGUAGUGAUAGCAGUUUAGUGAUGGUGGUGGUAGUAGUAGUAAUGAUGAUGGAAGUAAUAGCAGUUUAGUGAUGGUGGUGGUGGUAGUAGUAAUAAUGAUGAUGGCAGUGACAGCAGUUUAGUGAUGGUGGUGGUAGUAGUAGUAAUGAUGUUGGUAGUGAUAGCAGUUUAGUGAUGUGGUGGUGGUAGUAGUAGAAUGGUGAUGGUAGUGAUAGCAGUUUAGUGAUGGUGGUGGUAGUAGCAGUAAUGAUGAUGGUAGUGAUAGCAGUUUAGUGAUGGUGGUGGUAGUAGUAGUAAUGAUGAUGGUAGUGACAGCAGUUUAGUGAUGGUGGCGGUAGAAGUAAUAAUGAUGAUGGUAGUGAUAGCAGUUUAGUGAUGGUGGUGGUAGUAGUAGUAAUGAUGAUGGUAGUGAUAGCAGUUUAGUGAUGGUAGUGGUAGUAGUUGUAAUGAUGAUGGUAGUGAUAGCAGUUUAGUGACGGU
rnacentral:lncRNA from 1 species